rnacentral:rRNA from 4 species
UCAUAUGCUUGUCUCAAAGAUUAAGCCAUGCAUGUCUAAGUACGUGCCUAAGAAAGGUGAAACCGCGAAUGGCUCAUUAAAUCAGUUAUGGUUCCUUAGAUCGUACCUUACUACUUGGAUAACUGUGGUAAUUCUAGAGCUAAUACAUGCAGCAGAGCUCCGACCUUCGGGGACGAGCGCUUUUAUUAGACCAAGACCAAUCGGACUUCGGUCCGAAGCUCAUGGUGACUCUGGAUAACUUUGGGCUGAUCGCACGGUCUCGUACCGGCGACGCAUCUUUCAAGUGUCUGCCUUAUCAACUUUCGAUGGUAGGUUAUGCGCCUACCAUGGUCGUAACGGGUAACGGGGAAUCAGGGUUCGAUUCCGGAGAGGGAGCCUGAGAAACGGCUACCACAUCCAAGGAAGGCAGCAGGCGCGCAAAUUACCCACUCCCGGCACGGGGAGGUAGUGACGAAAAAUAACAAUACGGGACUCUAUUGAGGCCCCGUAAUUGGAAUGAGUACACUCUAAAUCCUUUAACGAGGAUCUAUUGGAGGGCAAGUCUGGUGCCAGCAGCCGCGGUAAUUCCAGCUCCAAUAGCGUAUAUUAAAGUUGUUGCGGUUAAAAAGCUCGUAGUUGGAUCUCAGUUCCAGACGGGUGGUCCACCCCUGGUGGCUACUGCCUGGCCUGAACAAAUCCAGCCGGUUUUCCUUGAUGCUCUUCACCGAGUGUCUUGGGUGACCGGCACGUUUACUUUGAAAAAAUUAGAGUGCUCAAAGCAGGCGUGACGCCUGAAUAAUGGUGCAUGGAAUAAUGGAAUAGGACCUCGGUUCUAUUUUGUUGGUUUUCGGAACACGAGGUAAUGAUUAAGAGGGACAGACGGGGGCAUUCGUAUUGCGACGCUAGAGGUGAAAUUCUUGGACCGUCGCAAGACGAACUACU